rnacentral:tRNA from 1 species
GCCCAUGUAGCUCAGUUGGUAGAGCACUUCCUUGGUAAGGAAGAGGUUCACCGGUUCGAUCCCGGUCAUGGGCUCCA